UACGUAGGGUGCGAGCGUUAAUCGGAAUUACUGGGCGUAAAGCGUGCGCAGGCGGUUAUGUAAGACAGUUGUGAAAUCCCCGGGCUCAACCUGGGAAUUGCAUCUGUGACUGCAUAGCUAGAGUACGGUAGAGGGGGAUGGAAUUCCACGUGUAGCAGUGAAAUGCGUAGAUAUGUGGAGGAACACCGAUGGCGAAGGCAGCCCCCUGGGAUGUGACUGACGCUCAUGUACGAAAGCGUGGGGAGCAAACAGG
rnacentral:rRNA from 1 species